rnacentral:rRNA from 1 species
GUAAAAAGUAGAAUAAUAGAUUUGAAAUAUUUAUUAUAUAGAUUUAAAGAGAUAAUCAUGGAGUAUAAUAAUUAAAUUUAAUAAAUUUAAUAUAACUAUUAAUAGAAUUAGGUUACUAAUAAAUUAAUAACAAUUAAUUUUAAAACCUAAAGGUAAACCUUUAUAUUAAUAAUGUUAUUUUUUAUUAUAUUUAUAAUAAGAAUAAUUAUUAAUAAUAAUAAACUAAGUGAACUGAAACAUCUAAGUAACUUAAGGAUAAGAAAUCAACAGAGAUAUUAUGAGUAUUGGUGAGAGAAAAUAAUAAAGGUCUAAUAAGUAUUAUGUGAAAAAAAUGUAAGAAAAUAGGAUAACAAAUUCUAAGACUAAAUACUAUUAAUAAGUAUAGUAAGUACCGUAAGGGAAAGUAUGAAAAUGAUUAUUUUAUAAGCAAUCAUGAAUAUAUUAUAUUAUAUUAAUGAUGUACCUUUUGUAUAAUGGGUCAGCAAGUAAUUAAUAUUAGUAAAACAAUAAGUUAUAAAUAAAUAGAAUAAUAUAUAUAUAUAUAAAAAUAUAUUAAAAUAUUUAAUUAAUAUUAAUUGACCCGAAAGCAAACGAUCUAACUAUGAUAAGAUGGAUAAACGAUCGAACAGGUUGAUGUUGCAAUAUCAUCUGAUUAAUUGUGGUUAGUAGUGAAAGACAAAUCUGGUUUGCAGAUAGCUGGUUUUCUAUGAAAUAUAUGUAAGUAUAGCCUUUAUAAAUAAUAAUUAUUAUAUAAUAUUAUAUUAAUAUUAUAUAAAGAAUGGUACAGCAAUUAAUAUAUAUUAGGGAACUAUUAAAGUUUUAUUAAUAAUAUUAAAUCUCGAAAUAUUUAAUUAUAUAUAAUAAAGAGUCAGAUUAUGUGCGAUAAGGUAAAUAAUCUAAAGGGAAACAGCCCAGAUUAAGAUAUAAAGUUCCUAAUAAAUAAUAAGUGAAAUAAAUAUUAAAAUAUUAUAAUAUAAUCAGUUAAUGGGUUUGACAAUAACCAUUUUUUAAUGAACAUGUAACAAUGCACUGAUUUAUAAUAAAUAAAAAAAAUAAUAUUUAAAAUCAAAUAUAUAUAUAUUUGUUAAUAGAUAAUAUACGGAUCUUAAUAAUAAGAAUUAUUUAAUUCCUAAUAUGGAAUAUUAUAUUUUUAUAAUAAAAAUAUAAAUACUGAAUAUCUAAAUAUUAUUAUUACUUUUUUUUUUAAUAAUAAUAAUAUGGUAAUAGAACAUUUAAUGAUAAUAUAUAUUAGUUAUUAAUUAAUAUAUGUAUUAAUUAAAUAGAGAAUGCUGACAUGAGUAACGAAAAAAAGGUAUAAACCUUUUCACCUAAAACAUAAGGUUUAACUAUAAAAGUACGGCCCCUAAUUAAAUUAAUAAGAAUAUAAAUAUAUUUAAGAUGGGAUAAUCUAUAUUAAUAAAAAUUUAUCUUAAAAUAUAUAUAUUAUUAAUAAUUAUAUUAAUAAUAUAUAUAAUUAUAUUAUAUAUUUUUUUAUUAUAUAAUAUAAACUAAUAAAGAUCAGGAAAUAAUUAAUGUAUACCGUAAUGUAGACCGACUCAGGUAUGUAAGUAGAGAAUAUGAAGGUGAAUUAGAUAAUUAAAGGGAAGGAACUCGGCAAAGAUAGCUCAUAAGUUAGUCAAUAAAGAGUAAUAAGAACAAAGUUGUACAACUGUUUACUAAAAACACCGCACUUUGCAGAAACGAUAAGUUUAAGUAUAAGGUGUGAACUCUGCUCCAUGCUUAAUAUAUAAAUAAAAUUAUUUAACGAUAAUUUUAUUAAAUUUAGGUAAAUAGCAGCCUUAUUAUGAGGGUUAUAAUGUAGCGAAAUUCCUUGGCCUAUAAUUGAGGUCCCGCAUGAAUGACGUAAUGAUACAACAACUGUCUCCCCUUUAAGCUAAGUGAAAUUGAAAUCGUAGUGAAGAUGCUAUGUACCUUCAGCAAGACGGAAAGACCCUAUGCAGCUUUACUGUAAUUAGAUAGAUCGAAUUAUUGUUUAUUAUAUUCAGCAUAUUAAGUAAUCCUAUUAUUAGGUAAUCGUUUAGAUAUUAAUGAGAUACUUAUUAUAAUAUAAUGAUAAUUCUAAUCUUAUAAAUAAUUAUUAUUAUUAUUAUUAAUAAUAAUAAUAUGCUUUCAAGCAUAGUGAUAAAACAUAUUUAUAUGAUAAUCACUUUACUUAAUAGAUAUAAUUCUUAAGUAAUAUAUAAUAUAUAUUUUAUAUAUAUUAUAUAUAAUAUAAGAGACAAUCUCUAAUUGGUAGUUUUGAUGGGGCGUCAUUAUCAGCAAAAGUAUCUGAAUAAGUCCAUAAAUAAAUAUAUAAAAUUAUUGAAUAAAAAAAUAAUAUAUAUUAUAUAUAUUAAUUAUAAAUUGAAAUAUGUUUAUAUAAAUUUAUAUUUAUUGAAUAUAUUUUAGUAAUAGAUAAAAAUAUGUACAGUAAAAUUGUAAGGAAAACAAUAAUAACUUUCUCCUCUCUCGGUGGGGGUUCACACCUAUUUUUAAUAGGUGUUCACCCCUCUUCGGGGUUCCGGUUCCCUUUCGGGUCCCGGAACUUAAAUAAAAAUAAUUAUGGAAAGAAUUAAAUUAAUAUAAUGGUAUAACUGUGCGAUAAUUGUAACACAAACGAGUGAAACAAGUACGUAAGUAUGGCAUAAUGAACAAAUAACACUGAUUGUAAAGGUUAUUGAUAACGAAUAAAAGUUACGCUAGGGAUAACAGGGUAAUAUAACGAAAGAGUAGAUAUUGUAAGUUAUGUUUGCCACCUCGAUGUCGACUCAACAUUUCCUCUUGGUUGUAAAAGCUAAGAAGGGUUUGACUGUUCGUCAAUUAAAAUGUUACGUGAGUUGGGUUAAAUACGAUGUGAAUCAGUAUGGUUCCUAUCUGCUGAAGGAAAUAUUAUCAAAUUAAAUCUCAUUAUUAGUACGCAAGGACCAUAAUGAAUCAACCCAUGGUGUAUCUAUUGAUAAUAAUAUAAUAUAUUUAAUAAAAAUAAUACUUUAUUAAUAUAUUAUCUAUAUUAGUUUAUAUUUUAAUUAUAUAUUAUCAUAGUAGAUAAGCUAAGUUGAUAAUAAAUAAAUAUUGAAUACAUAUUAAAUAUGAAGUUGUUUUAAUAAGAUAAUUAAUCUGAUAAUUUUAUACUAAAAUUAAUAAUUAUAGGUUUUAUAUAUUAUUUAUAAAUAAAUAUAUUAUAAUAAUAAUAAUUAUUAUUAUUAAUAAAAAAUAUUAAUUAUAAUAUUAAUAAAAUACUAAUUUAUCAGUUAUCUAUAUAAUAUCUAAUCUAUUAUUCUAUAUACU